rnacentral:lncRNA from 1 species
CUCGGGCCUGCCGCCGGCACCGGGCAGCCGGAGCGGGACGGCGCCGGUGGGAGCCCGGAGGGAGCCCGGGGCCUCCCGAGGCCCGGCCUCGGGUGUCUGUGGCCGGGGCUCAGCGCCCGCCGGGCCCCCUGGGCUCGCAGUGCUGGGCUGGUGCGGGGAGUGGGGCUGCGAGGCAAGGAGGGGACUUCAAGAGUGGUGGCUGUCCUGACCAAGUUAACUGAAGUUUGUUCUUGAGAGUUAUAGUCCAUCCCUUUCUGUGCAGAAAAAAUCAGUGGUUGGUGGAAUCAGGCAUGUCCUUUAUCUACAGAGUGCAAAGGCUGGUUUGCAGGUCCACUGCUCCCUGCUUUUACUCUCCGUUUGACGUUUCUAACUGUUUCCCUUUGGCAGAUCACGAGUGGCUUCUGCUUCCAGAAAUGCAGAGAUAUUUCUAUCUAAUUGUACCCUGCCACCCAGCUUCAGUUUCUUGGUGCUGUGUUUUGGGCUGUGAUUUCAUGUCUUUCACCUUACUCCAGACAGAAGCAUAACUGCUCCUACCUUUGUAGAAGAACCUGUGAAGGCUGAUAACCAGUUGCAUAACCUUCAAAGAAGUUUAAUCCCAACAUCCAUUAUUCUUCUGUAUUAUAUUCACAAGCACUAAAUGGUGAUAUAUGUAUUUAACAGGCCCUUCUAAAUUUCAAACUUGUAUAUACUCAGAAUUUAUAUUAUCAUAUUUCCCUAACUUAUUUUGGAAGAAGUUCCAUUUAAUUGAAAAACAAGUCUUUUCUAUUGCUUUUUGUGAUAUCUUACAGAAUUCUCUAUCUCUCACAAUUUUAUAUUACAUGGAGUAAGCUGGUUGAAAACAUAACAUCAUCAUUUUUUGAAUUCUGUAUUCAUUUCUGUUAAUUUAAGUUCUGUGAUACUCUAGAGUUAUUUUAUGGAAGUCCACGCUUUUUUUUUUCUAGGUAAAUUACAAUUAACAUUUUUAAAAGUAAAAUAAAUACCUAGUUAGUGUUACCA